GAUGAACGCUGGCGGCGUGCCUAACACAUGCAAGUCGAGCGAUGAAGUUUUCUUCGGAAAAUGGAUUAGCGGCGGACGGGUGAGUAACACGUGGGCAACCUGCCCUAUACUGCGGGAUAACCAAUAGAAAUAUUGGCUAAUACCGCAUGAGAUCCUUUUGGGACAUCCCGAGAGGAGGAAAGAUUUUUCGGUAUAGGAUGGGCUCGCGUCCCAUUAGCUAGUUGGUGGUGUAACGGACCACCAAGGCUUCGAUGGGUAGCCGACCUGAGAGGGUGAUCGGCCACACUGGAACUGAGAGACGGUCCAGACUCCUACGGGAGGCAGCAGUGGGGAAUAUUGGGCAAUGGGCGAAAGCCUGACCUAGCAACGCCGCGUGAAGGAAGAAGGUUUUCGGAUUGUAAACUUCUGUUGUAGAUGACGAAGAAUGACGGUAGUCUACGAGGAAGCCCCGGCAAACUAUGUGCCAGCAGCCGCAGUAAGAC
rnacentral:rRNA from 1 species